AGCUUUGCGCGGUGGCAGUAUCGUAGCCAAUGAGGUUUAUCCGAGGCGUGAUUAUUGCUAAUAGAAAGACACCGAGUUCCGCAGACGUGAGCUCUUAGAAUCCAUUUCUCCAGCUUUGCUAAGCUACCUGCAAGGGAGAUGG
rnacentral:snRNA from 13 species